rnacentral:rRNA from 1 species
GGAGGGUGCAAGCGUUAAUCGGAAUUACUGGGCGUAAAGCGCACGCAGGCGGUUGUUAAGUCAGAUGUGAAAUCCCGAGGCUCAACCUCGGAACUGCCUUUGAUACUGUCAGUCUAGAGUCUGUGAGAGGAUGACGGAAUACCCAGUGUAGAGGUGAAAUUCGUAGAUAUUGGGUAGAACACCGGUGGCGAAGGCGGCUCACUGCCGCACGGAACUGACGCUGAGGCGCGAAAACGUGGGGACCAAACAGGAUUAGAUACCCUGGUAGUCCACGCCGUAAACGAUGAGUCAUGUUGCUGGGGUUCGGCCUUCGGUGACGCAGCAAUCGCAUUAAGCAGUCCGCCUGGGGAGUACGGCCGCAAGGUUAAAACUCAAAGGAAUUGACGGGGGCCCGCACAAG